GCCAAAGCUUAGUGGUAGAGCAUCUGCCCUGUAUGCAGAAGUUCCCACAUUCAAUCCCUGGCAUCCUCAGGCU